CUUCGGGAACUGUGAGACAGGUGCUGCAUGGCUGUCGUCAGCUCGUGUUGUGAAAUGUUGGGUUAAGUCCCGCAACGAGCGCAACCCUUAUCCUUUGUUGCCAGCGAUUAGGUCGGGAACUCAAAGGAGACUGCCAGUGAUAAACUGGAGGAAGGUGGGGAUGACGUCAAGUCAUCAUGGCCCUUACGACCAGGGCUACACACGUGCUACAAUGGCGCAUACAAAGAGAAGCGACCUCGCGAGAGCAAGCGGACCUCAUAAAGUGCGUCGUAGUCCGGAUUGGAGUCUGCAACUCGACUCCAUGAAGUCGGAAUCGCUAGUAAUCGUGGAUCAGAAUGCCACGGUGAAUACGUUCCCGGGCCUUGUACACACCGCCCGUCACACCAUGGGAGUGGGUUGCAAAAGAAGUAGGUAGCUUAACCUUCGGGAGGGCGCUUACCACUUUGUGAUUCAUGACUGGGGUGAAGUCGUAACAAGGUAACCGUAGGGGAACCUGCGGUUGGA
rnacentral:rRNA from 4 species